rnacentral:rRNA from 1 species
AUUGAACGCUGGCGGCAGGCCUAACACAUGCAAGUCGAACGAGUGGCGGACGGGUGCGUAAUGUCUGGGAAACUGCCCGAUGGCGGGGGAUAACUACUGGAAACGGUAGCUAAUACCGCAUACUAUCGUGUCUGCCCAAAUGGGAUUAGCUGGUAGGUGGGGUAACGGCUCACCUAGGCGACGAUCCCUAGCUGGUCUGAGAGGAUGACCAGCCACACGGGAACUGAGACACGGUCCAGACCCCUACGGGAGGCAGCAGUGGGGAAUAUUGCACAAUGGGCGCAAGCCUGAUGCAGCCAUGCCGCGUGUAUGAAGAAGGCCUUCGGGUUGUAAAGUACUUUCAGCGAGGAGGCGUUACUCGCAGAAGAAGCACCGGCUAACUCCGUGCCAGCAGCCGCGGUAAUAC